UACACGAUUACGUGGUUCACCCCGAAGGUCUACGGUCUCGACAAGUAGAAAUCUCUAUCACAAUAAAUAUUACAAUUUUGGGUUACAAGAAAUAUACCUCUCUCUAAACAUCGGUAAAAACCAUUACCGAUAUUCCCUUCCAAACCCGUUCUCUCGACCAAGCAACACCGUCAAUCAAUACCCUUACUUCUCACUGCAAUACCGCUAUCAGAAAGAAAACCUUGAGAGCAACUACUUUGUCUCUCUAAAAGUAAAAGUUAACCAGUCUCAAACUCAUGGAAAUACCGCCUCUCUCUUGGAGGCCAUGUGUCUCUCUCUUGGAGACUCAUCUCUAUAUUGGAGUCCAUUCCCAUAACCCCCAAAGG
rnacentral:lncRNA from 1 species